UGUAGUAAUAUAUUUAAAUUCAAUUUUUGUCAACCAAAAUUGUUUACUUCGCAAGCAAACUAAACAAGUUUAUUAUUCAAUUGCUGUUAGAUAUUUUAAUCCGCACUUAUUAAUCCAACACAAUGGACUUCAUUUAGCUGGCAAGGGCAUUACGCAUUCGCCAAGCCCAUGAAUAACUCUUGUUUCGUUUACUUUCGGUGGGUAAGAGCGUGUCCUGCUUAAUUUAAAUUAAUUAAAUUACUGCACACUCGACCAUCGUUGGCCAAAACCCACAUAUUGCGAUUGAAUGAGGGCUUAAAGAGCUAAGCGUAAAGAGCUGCACGAGCUGAGGACAGUAAGGUCAAUGCUGUAUUGAAAUUAAUUAGACUUUUGGAAUUCCAACGAGAAAUAAAAAGAAUUACAAAUUGAAAACGUAAUCGAAAUCGAUUUGGCCACAUUCGGUGGCAGCCAAAACGUCAACAGGUCUUUGGCAUUUGUUUCAAUUUUCGAAAAGUGAAAAAAACUGAAAAAAAACUGAAUUUGUAUUUAUCGGUUAACGAGUCGGAGUUACUGGAAUUUGAGCUGGUUAAUUACGAUAACUGGCCAUUAACACAUUAAAGCAAGACGCUUUUUUUAAAAGCCGGCGUUUUGUUAGCCACGUUAACACACAAAUGUUGGCCACGAUGACGAAGACGAAGACGAAGCCGAAACUGAAGACGAUGACGCCGACAAAUAUGCGAUUCCACACAUGACUCGCGAUCUCGAAUGUUUGUUUGCUUUUGUGGGGGCCCCUCUGACCUUGAUAUACAUAAAUUAUGGUUCACUUGCGGCCGCUUUGUAUCAAGUAAUCAUAACGAAAUAUUUUCAAACAUUUUCAUGCAUAUUUUUAUA